GCCUGGAGACCCUGGACGGCUGGCACCCCAACCCUGACCCGGACCCGGACCCAGACUCAGAGCCGGCGGGCCACCCGCCUAGCGAGACCUUCCUAGACCCAGAGGCUGAGCCCAGCGUGGACGUGAUCCUGGUGGGCUCCAGCCCGCCGUCCCCCGGGCGGGGCAGAGAUCUCAUUGCGUAUGAAGUCCAGGUGAACCAGAGAAACAUAGAAGGUG